rnacentral:rRNA from 1 species
CGCGUAGGCGGCCAAUCAAGUCCGACGUGAAAUUCCUCGGCUCAACCGAGGGCCUGCGUCGGAUACUGCUUGGCUUGAGUCCCGGAGAGGGUAGUGGAAUUCCCAGUGUAGCGGUGAAAUGCGUAGAUACUGGGAGGAACACCGGUGGCGAAGGCGGCACCUGGACGGGUACUGACGCUGAGGCGCGAAAGCUAGGGGAGCAAACA